CUGCCUAUCACUUUCGAUGGUAGGAUAGUGGCUACCAUGGUGGCAACGGGUAACGGGGAAUUAGGGUUCGAUUCCGGAGAGGGAGCCUGAGAAACGGCUACCACAUCCAAGGAAGGCAGCAGGCGCGCAAAUUACCCAAUCCCGAUACGGGGAGGUAGUGACAAUAAAUACUGAUACGGGGCUCUUUUGGGUCUCGUAAUUGGAAUGAGAACAAUUUAAAUCCCUUAACGAGGAACAAUUGGAGGGCAAGUCUGGUGCCAGCAGCCGCGGUAAUUCCAGCUCCAAUAGCGUAUAUUAAAGUUGUUGCAGUUAAAAAGCUCGUAGUUGAACCUUGGGUCUGGCUGGUCGGUCCGCCUCACCGCGAGUACUGAUCCGGCUGGACCUUUCCUUCUGGGGAACCUCAUGGCCUUCACUGGCUGUGGGGGGAACCAGGACUUUUACUGUGAAAAAAUUAAAAGUGUUCAAAGCAGGCCUUUGCUCGAAUACAUUAGCAUGGAAUAAUAGAAUAGGACGUGUGGUUCUAUUUUGUUGGUUCUAGGACCGCCGUAAUGAUUAAUAGGGAUAGUCGGGGGCGUCAGUAUUCAGCUGUCAGAAGUGAAAUUCUUGGAUUUCUGAAGACUAACUACUUGCGAAAGCAUUCCCAAGGAUGUUUCAUUAAUCAGGGAACGAAAGUUAGGGGAUCGAAGACGAUCAGAUACCGCCGAAGCUUAACCAUAAACUAUCCCACUAGGAUCGGACAGGAUCUAUAAUGACCUGUUCGGCACCUUACAAAAAAUCAAAGUUUUUGGGUUCUGGGGGGAAUAUGGCC
rnacentral:rRNA from 1 species